rnacentral:rRNA from 1 species
AACGAACGCUGGCGGCAUGCCUAACACAUGCAAGUCGAACGAGACCUUCGGGUCUAGUGGCGCACGGGUGCGUAACGCGUGGGAAUCUGCCCUUGGGUGCGGAAUAACUUUCCGAAAGGAAUGCUAAUACCGCAUAAUGUCGUAAGACCAAAGAUUUAUCGCCCAAGGAUGAGCCCGCGUAAGAUUAGCUAGUUGGUGGGGUAAAAGCCUACCAAGGCGACGAUCUUUAGCUGGUCUGAGAGGAUGAUCAGCCACACUGGGACUGAGACACGGCCCAGACUCCUACGGGAGGCAGCAGUGGGGAAUAUUGGACAAUGGGCGAAAGCCUGAUCCAGCAAUGCCGCGUGAGUGAUGAAGGCCCUAGGGUUGUAAAGCUCUUUUACCCGGGAUGAUAAUGACAGUACCGGGAGAAUAAGCUCCGGCUAACUUCGUG